UACGGAGGGUGCGAGCGUUGUCCGGAAUCACUGGGCGUAAAGGGCGCGUAGGCGGCUCAUGAAGGCUGUGGUGAAAGUCCGGGGCUCAACCUCGGAUCGGCCGUGGCGACUCGUGGGCUGGAGCACUGUAGAGGCGGGUGGAAUUCCGGGUGUAGCGGUGGAGUGCGUAGAGAUCCGGAAGAACACCAGUGGCGAAGGCGGCCCGCUGGGCAGUGGCUGACGCUGAGGCGCGACAGCGUGGGGAGCAAACAGG
rnacentral:rRNA from 1 species